rnacentral:lncRNA from 1 species
AUUUUUCACCGCAAGAAAGAAGCUAUCAAGAGAUUCUAAGGCGAUUAACAUGAGAGAUAGAAAAUUCAAAGUCCGAGUCGAAGAUUAAAGAAGAAGAAAUUAAUUUUUCACUUUUCAAUUAUUGUUUUCAAUUCUGGGUGAUGUUUCUCCAAUUUUUUUUGUGUGAUUUGUUAGAUAAUAUGCUAGGCCAAUUACUUUCAUGUAUUG